GUACUGUGAGACUCAGGCUCGUGCCCGCGUCGACCGAAAGCUUUGUUUUCUUUCCUCUGUUUAGCUAAAUGGACAUUCCCGGUCGGAAUAUUAUCGCUUUUUUACGAGAAAAAUAGCAUAAAAAUUGAUUUUAAACAGCGGUUGACAUGCUUCGAAGUACGGUAAUGGAAUAUUUAGAUUUUUUUUGUCACGAAUUGCGCCAUGCGCACGACCCUGAUUUCCCAUUUCGGAUAGUGUCUGGGACGCACGAACAAAACGCCGCUAUUCGGAUAUAACGAUGGAUUAUUUUGGACCAAACCAACAUUUGUUAUUGAAGUAGCAGUCCUGGGAGUGCAUUCUGACGAAGACAACAAAAGGACCUGAGCCCUAGGACCAUGCCUCAGGACUACCUGGCUUGAUGACUCCUUGCUGUCCCCAGUUCACCUGGCCGUGCUGCUGCUCCAGUUCCAACUGUUCUGCCUGCAGCUAUGGAACCCUGACCUGUUCACCGGACGUGCUACCUGUCCCAGACCUGUUGUCCCAGACCUGCUGGAACCCUGACCUAUUCACCGGACGUGCUACCUGUCCCAGACCUGCUGUUUUCAACUCUCUAGAGACAGCAGGAGCGGUAGAGAUACUCUCAAAGAUCGGCUAUGAAAAAGCCAACUGACACUUACUCUUGUGUUACUGACUUGUUGCACCCUCGACAACUACUAUGAUUAUUAUUAUUUGACAAUGCUGGUCAUUUAUGAAUAUUUGAACAUCUGGCCAUGUGCUGUUAUAAUCUCCACCCGGCACAGCCAGAAGAGGACUGGCCACCCCUCAUAGCCUGGUUCCUCUCUAGGUUUCUUCCUAGGUUUUGGCCUUUCUAGGGAGUUUUUCCUAGCCACCGUUUCUAGGGAGUUUUUCCUAGGGAGUUUUUCCUAGCCACCGUGCUUCUUUCACAUGCUUUGCUUGCUGUUUGGGGUUUUAGGCUGGGUUUCUGUACAGCACUUUGAGAAUAUCAGCUGAUGUACGAAGGGCUAUAUAAAAAUUAAUUUGAUUUGAUUUGAUUUGAUUAGUGAAAAGUCGUGCACUAUAGGGAAUAAGGUACCAUUUGAAACACAACCAUUGUUUUCCAUUGAAUUUUUCAGCUCCAACUAAGUUAUCAUCAUGCAGUUUGGUUGUGGCAAGGAUUCUCACACUAGAGCUCAUAGCUGCCAUCCAGAAAUAGCAACCAUUCAUCAGCUAAAUCAGCAUUUCUUACACAGGAGGCUGCUGAGGGG
rnacentral:lncRNA from 1 species